UACAGAGGUCCCAAGCGUUGUUCGGAUUCACUGGGCGUAAAGGGUGCGUAGGUGGUGAGGUAAGUCGGAUGUGAAAGCUCGGAGCUCAACUCCGAAAUGGCAUUGGAAACUACCUUGCUCGAGGGUUGGAGGGGGGACUGGAAUGCUUGGUGUAGCAGUGAAAUGCGUAGAUAUCAAGCGGAACACCAGUGGCGAAGGCGAGUCCCUGGACAACUCCUGACACUGAGGCACGAAAGCUAGGGGAGCAAACAG
rnacentral:rRNA from 1 species